rnacentral:rRNA from 1 species
CCUACGGGUGGCAGCAGUGAGGAAUAUUGGUCAAUGGACGCAAGUCUGAACCAGCCAUGCCGCGUGCAGGACUACGGCUCUAUGAGUUGUAAACUGCUUUUGUACGAGGGUAAACGCAGAUACGCGUAUCUGUCUGAAAGUAUCGUACGAAUAAGGAUUGGCUAACUCCGUGCCAGCAGCCGCGGUAAUACGGAGGAUUCAAGCGUUAUCCGGAUUUAUUGGGUUUAAAGGGUGCGUAGGCGGUCGGAUAAGUUAGAGGUGAAAUCCCGAGGCUCAACUUCGGAAUUGCCUCUGAUACUGUUCGGCUAGAGAGUAGUUGCGGUACGCGGAAUGUAUGGUGUAGCGGUGAAAUGCUUAGAGAUCACACAGAACACCGAUUGCGAAGGCAGCUUACCAGGCUACUUCUGACGUUGAGGCACGAAAGCGUGGGGAGCGAACAGGAUUAGAUACCCCUGUAGUC